rnacentral:misc_RNA from 1 species
CCCGCAAGUGUCCUCACCCACACAUACUAGACCUUGUCCUGACUUUAAAUUUGAUCUAGUCUGAUUAAGAAAUACAAUAAGUGUUUUAGACUGGCAUAAAGAAUAAUGGAUUUUCCGGAGUCCUUGGCUAAUUAUUCUUGAUUGCAUGUCCUCCAUCCUUAUUAUCGAAGUAUCAAGCUCACGUUGGGGGACAAGAGCAGCUACACUAUCAACCACAAUCACAUCGACAGACCCACUCUUGGUCAGUGUGUCAACUACACUCAGCAACCUUUCAGCUGAAUCUGGAGG